AAAUCAUUUUCCAAAGGAGAGAGUUCGAAGGAGUGCAAUUUUUGGCUUUGAAAGUUAGACCUUUUAGACAAUUAAGCAAACAAAAUUCUUGUUCAUG
rnacentral:ribozyme from 1 species